UGCAGAUAUGAAACACUUUGAGAAACAGACGAGUGUAUAUGUGUGUGUAUAUAUAUAUAUAUACACACACAUAUACACUCGUCUGUUUCUCAAAGUGUUUCAUA
rnacentral:miRNA from 14 species